AUGGUAAUAUUUCAUAGGAUCACUUUUAUGGUACGAUUGCCGGGUUUCUCGCCGAGAUUCUCGGAAUAUGUCCAACGAUGAUGCUGUUAGUGUAAUCCUUUCAGCGGGAAGUGGCUCUCAAGUGUGCUUGAGGUUUGAUGGCCGCUCUGACUCGGCUUACCGAUGUUCAUAGGAGGAUCACACAGGCUGAGUGGU